CAACUAGUCCUUCCGUCCAAAAUUCUUGUCUUUGGUUUGUUUAAAAAUAGAUGUAUCUAAAUAGUAAAAUGUGACUAGAUACAUUCAUAUCUAGACAAAUAUAAGACAAGAAUUUGAGACGGAGGGAGUAGUAC
rfam:Hordeum vulgare subsp. vulgare, WGS project CAJW01000000 data, contig: morex_contig_2552245